rnacentral:lncRNA from 1 species
AAAGCCCUGCAAGAGGACCCGCGCUGCUAACCGCCCCUCGAAAGCUUUGAAUCCGGUUGCCAUAAACCCCUUCCCUGAAAUUGGCAGUGAAUCAAUUCCAUUAGCAUUUUCCGCCUCGAUUGGCGAAGUCGUCUUUGGUCCUUCAUCCUGCCAGGUCAAAUAACCCGAUACGAGUAUAGUUUCCUUAUAAAGACAGAUCAUCUUUCAAGGCCUGAUCAUGCAUGGACAGCGAGAGGUUUCAUCCACAAAUAAGAUUGGACUUUUCUUUCAAUAAAAUAAGACAUUCUACUCCUGAUCGUAGACCACAGUUCGCUAAUGCUCACCUGAUAUACUCUAACCUUUUGGGCUUAUAUCGAUGAAGAUCAAAGAGUCGAAGCGAGCUUAAAAGAUGCCGGGAACAACGGAGUGUCGGGCGCUACGCUCAGUUGAUCAAAAGGGUAAACCUGAUAGUCAAGUGAUUUUGGAGCUCAUUCUAUUUCCAAGAAAGAGUCAACUCAGAUAACGAAUACGAAGAUCACUGGUUUGACGAGGAUGAGAUGCUGCGGCCGUUCCCUUGUUCUAGAUCCUACCUACAAAGAAUCAUUUAGAAAGAAAGCCCAAACUCGAGACACGGAUAGAGAAUUGUCCGAAAGAGGGAAUAUUUGUGGGAGCAGAUCCUUUGAACCUUCCCGAUUCCUCACCGCUCCGUGGGCCUUUUUCUGAUCUCGGAGACUUAACUGGCGCUGACACAGAUUCAUCUUCUGCCCUUGAUUCUUCUCUAGGUAAGGGGGGAAGGACGAAAACAAGUAAGCUUCUGUGAGUUCCGCUUCUCUUACCUAUUGCUCUGCUCUGGUUAGCACAGAAAAGCUAGCACCCCACCACCCGGCUAAGGAUUAUGUUUAUUAUAUGACAAAUCUUCCAAUAAGUAUUUCACACCUCUGUCAACUAAUACGGAUGAAACUAGAUAGGAUGAAACAAUUAGAGAAAUCAGGGUGCGUGCCCAUAGUGCCUAAGGAGUGAGUUCAAAAG